UACGUAGGGGGCAAGCGUUGUCCGGAUUUAUUGGGCGUAAAGAGCUCGUAGGUGGUUCGGUAAGUCGGAUGUGAAAUCUCCAGGCUCAACCUGGAGGGGUCAUUCGAUACUGCCGUGACUAGAGUUCGGUAGGGGAGUGCGGAAUUCCUGGUGGAGCGGUGAAAUGCGCAGAUAUCAGGAGGAACACCCGUAGCGAAGGCGGCACUCUGGGCCGAUACUGACACUGAGGAGCGAAAGCGUGGGGAGCGAACAGG
rnacentral:rRNA from 1 species